UCAAUAAGCGGAGGAAAAGAAACCAACAGGGAUUGCCUUAGUAACGGCGAGUGAAGCGGCAACAGCUCAAAUUUGAAAUCUGGCCCUUGGGUCCGAAUUGUAAUUUGUAGAGGAUGAUUUUGGUGCGGUAUCUUCCGAGUUCCUUGGAACAGGACGCCUUAGAGGGUGAGAGCCCCGUACGGUUGAAUGCCUAGCCUCUGUAAAUCUCCUUCGACGAGUCGAGUAGUUUGGGAAUGCUGCUCUAAAUGGGAGGUAAAUUUCUUCUAAAGCUAAAUAUUGGCCAGAGACCGAUAGCGCACAAGUAGAGUGAUCGAAAGAUGAAAAGCACUUUGAAAAGAGGGUUAAAUAGCACGUGAAAUUGUUGAAAGGGAAGGAUUUGUGACCAGACUUUUUCUGGGCGGAUCAUCCGGGGUUCUCUCCGGUGCACUUCGCCCAGUAAAGGCCAGCAUCGGUUUUCGGCGUGGGAUAAAAGCAGUAGGAAUGUGGCUCUCUACGGGGAGUGUUAUAGCCUAUUGUAUAAUACCGCGCUGGGGACCGAGGUUCGCGCUUCUGCAAGGAUGCUGGCGUAAUGGUUAUCAAUCACCCGUCUUGAAACACGGACCAAGGAGUCGAACAUUUGUGCGAGUGUUUGGGUGUUAAACCCUCACGCGUAAUGAAAGUGAACGGAGGUGAGAGCCCUUACGGGUGCAUCAUCGACCGAUCCUGAAGUUUUCGGAUGGAUUUGAGUAAGAGCAUAACUGUUCGGACCCGAAAGAUGGUGAACUAUGCGUGGAUAGGGUGAAGCCAGAGGAAACUCUGGUGGAGGCUCGCAGCGGUUCUGACGUGCAAAUCGAUCGUCAAAUCUGCGCAUGGGGGCGAAAGACUAAUCGAACCAUCUAGUAGCUGGUUAC
rnacentral:rRNA from 1 species